GGCUACGCUGGGCGGCGUGGUCUUAGCCAUGCAAGUCGAGCGGACUUAUGGGGUAACUUAUAAGUCAGCGGCGGACGGCGGAGUAACACGUAGCUAACCUACCCUCUGGACGGGGAUAACCUACCGAAAGGUGGGCUAAUACCCGAUGUAGUCAUCCUGUAUAGGGGUGAUGAAAGGUGGGCUUCUGUUUACAAGCUCAUGCUGGAGGAGGGGGCUGCGGCCUAUCAGGUAGUUGGUAGGGUAAUAGCCUACCAAGCCGAUGACGGGUAGCCGGCCUGAGAGGGUGACCGGCCCGAGGGGCACUGAGAUACGGGUCCCACUCCUACGGGAGGCAGCAGGCUAGAAAUUUGGGCAAUGGGGGAAACCCUGACCCAGUGACGCCGCGUGCAGGAAGGAGCCCUUCGGGGUGUAAACUGCUGUCGUGUAGGGAGAAGGGUACUAAGGUGAACAAUCUUAGUACUUGACGGUACUACAGGAGGAAGCCCAGGCUAACCUCGUG
rnacentral:rRNA from 1 species